CGCGUAGGCGGUCUUGUCGGUCAGAUGUGAAAGCCCAGGGCUCAACCCUGGACGUGCAUUUGAAACAGCAAGACUUGAGUACGGGAGAGGAAAGCGGAAUUCCUGGUGUAGAGGUGAAAUUCGUAGAUAUCGGGAGGAACACCGAUGGCGAAGGCAGCUUUCUGGACCGAUACUGACGCUGAGGCGCGAAGGCGUGGGUAGCGAACAGGAUUAGAUACCCUGGUAGUCC
rnacentral:rRNA from 1 species